AGAGUUUGAUCAUGGCUCAGAUUGAACGCUGGCGGCGUGCUUAACACAUGCAAGUCGUACGCGAAAGGGACUUCGGUCCCGAGUAAAGUGGCGCACGGGUGAGUAACACGUGGAUAAUCUGCCUCUAUGAUGGGGAUAACAGUUGGAAACGACUGCUAAUACCGAAUACGCUCAUGAUGAACUUUGUGAGGAAAGUGGCCUCUGCUUGCAAGCUAUCGCAUAGAGAUGAGUCCGCGUCCAUUAGCUAGUUGGUGGGUAACGGCCUACCAAGGCAACGAUGGGUAGCCGAUCUGAGAGGAUGAUCGGCCACGACUGGAACUGAAACACGGUCCAGACUCCUACGGAGGCA
rnacentral:rRNA from 1 species